GGUCGCUUAACUCAGUUGGUUUAGAGUGUGGUGCUAAUAACGCCAAAGUAAGAUAAAUAAACUCUAUUCUAAGUGGAUCUAACAUUAAAUAGGUCGCGAGUUCGACCCUCGUAGUGACCA